rnacentral:tRNA from 1 species
UUAAUUGAAGCCAAAUUAGAGGCAUAUUACUGUUAAUGAUAUCAUUGAAUUUAAUUUCCAAUUAAA